rnacentral:siRNA from 1 species
UGUGAAAACAACUGAUUGAACUG